CAAUCCCUGCCACGAGCGACCUCCACGUGCAACCCUCUCUCUCCACCACCAGCAACGUUCGCCUCCACCUCUCUCUCUCUCUCUCUCUCUCUCUCUCUCUCCCUCAAUCGGUACCACCAGCCGCGGUCGCCUCCACCUCUCUCUCCCUCCUCUCCCUCAAUCGGUACCACCAGUCGCGACCGCCUCCACCUCUCUCUCCCUCAUUCCCUACCACCACGCUGUGCGGCCUCAGAUUACAGGUAAGACCCCUACCACCACGCUGUGCAGCCUCGGAUUGAGCCUUACAGGGGCCAAGGAGCAGCAAUAGCUCUUCAUCAAAUCCGGAAUCCAAAACUAAAGACAAGUGUGCUGUAAUGUAAAGAAAGCAUUUGUAUAUGAUGUAUUUCCCUCCCAGUUUUGGCCAAUUUGUUGUAAUACAUGAUAAGAACAUCACCUAAGCAAUCAUCAUUUGUGUGAAUUUCCAAUCAGCUUUUUUUUUUUGGUUAUGUAAAUAAAAUAAAAAUUAUCUAAA